UAACUGCACCUACAACUAGCAAUGCUAACACAUGGUUAAGCAAGUUGUAACAUAGCCAAUCACUGGUUUGCUAGGUUCUGAAGAGGUUGAAGGUUUUGAUGGCAAUGUUGGGAGACAUGUUAAACAUGUGGUAGGCAGCGAGACAUAACAAAAGAAACGAGACAACUAGCAUGACAUUGAUAAUAAUGGUAUCUAGGGAAAUGAUCAUCUUGCCUGAGAUCCUGCUUGGAAGAAGAACGAUUCCGUGCAGCACACGAACCAUUGUAGUCGAAC
rnacentral:lncRNA from 1 species